GAUGAACGCUAGCGGCAGGCCUAAUACAUGCAAGUCGAACGCGGGGUAGCAAUACCUCGAGUGGCGCACGGGUGCGUAACGCGUAACCAACCUGCCCUUGACUGGGGGAUAGCCCGCCGAAAGGCGGAUUAAUACCGCAUAAACCAGCAGCCUGGCAUCAGGCAACUGGUAAAGAUUUAUUGGUCAAGGAUGGGGUUGCGUGACAUUAGCUAGUUGGCGGGGUAACGGCCCACCAAGGCGACGAUGUCUAGGGGACCUGAGAGGGUGAUCCCCCACACUGGCACUGAGAUACGGGCCAGACUCCUACGGGAGGCAGCAGUAGGGAAUAUUGGGCAAUGGGCGAGAGCCUGACCCAGCCAUGCCGCGUGCCGGAUGAAGGCCUUCUGGGUUGUAAACGGCUUUUCUCAGGGAAGAAAACGACCAUGCGUGGUACACUGACGGUACCUGAGGAAUAAGCACCGGCUAACUCCGUGCCAGCAGCCGCGGUAAGAC
rnacentral:rRNA from 1 species